UACAGAGGGGGCAAGCGUUGUUCGGGAUUACUGGGCGUAAAGGGCGCGUAGGCGGCCAACUAAGUCGAACGUGAAAUCCCCGGGCUCAACCCGGGAACUGCGUCCGAUACUGGUUGGCUUGAAUCCGGGAGAGGGAUGCGGAAUUCCAGGUGUAGCGGUGAAAUGCGUAGAUAUCUGGAGGAACACCGGUGGCGAAGGCGGCAUCCUGGACCGGCAUUGACGCUGAGGCGCGAAAGCCAGGGGAGCAAACGGG
rnacentral:rRNA from 1 species